rnacentral:lncRNA from 1 species
GCCAGUUAUAUUGGUAUUUAAGUGACCAGACUCGACUUAAGGACCUUGGUCGAGUUUUGCUCUCUAGACAUCAAUCUUAUUGGAUUAAGAGAGCCGAAAGACUGCUAGAGUUGGAGGUUUAAGGUUCUAUUGAAAUACUCGUCCCGUGUGUGUGUUAAAAUUGCAUAUCCUUUUAAAAUUACAAUAUGACAUGUAUUUGUUAUUGGUGAUGUUCUAUACUAUUAAAUACUUAUUUUAUAUUUAUGGUUGCUUAAAUUCAAGGUAUAUGAUUUUAACUUACUCUGGAGACUGACAGUCUCAAUUUUAAAUUUUUUAUGUGACACCUAAGUUCUCCGCCGACUUCUUUUGGCAACCCGACUUCCCUUCCCCUUCAGGCUUAUUGUAAUUAAAUCCUGACUUUUGUAUUUUGAAUUAUUUGAAAUUCUAAACUCUCUGCAGUA